rnacentral:tRNA from 2 species
GGCCCUGUGGUGUAGCGGUCUAACAUGCCGCCCUGUCACGGCGGAGAUCGACAGUUCAAAUCUGUUCAGGGUCGCCA